UGCAGAAUUCCGCGAAUCAUCGAGUCUUUGAACGCAAGUUGCGCCCGAGGCUUAUCCCAAGGGCAUUUCCGCUAGAGCGUCACC
rnacentral:rRNA from 1 species